rnacentral:rRNA from 1 species
GACGAACCGUCCAAACGUUAUUCGGAAUCACUGGGCUUACAGAGUUCGUAGGCGGUUCGGUAAGUUAGGUGUGAAAUCCCUUGGCUCAACCAAGGAACUGCGCUUAAUACUGCCGAACUUGAGGGAGAUAGAGGAGAGCGGAACUGAUGGUGGAGCGGUGAAAUGCGUUGAUAUCAUCAGGAACACCGGUGGCGAAGGCGGCUCUCUGGGUCUCUCCUGACGCUGAGGAACGAAAGCUAGGGGAGCAAACGGG